rnacentral:rRNA from 1 species
UACGGGGGGAGCAAGCGUUGUUCGGAUUUACUGGGCGUAAAGGGCGCGUAGGCGGUCAGCACAAGUCAGUUGUGAAAUCUCCGGGCUUAACUCGGAAAGGUCAACUGAUACUGUGCGACUAGAGUGCAGAAGGGGCAACUGGAAUUCUCGGUGUAGCGGUGAAAUGCGCAGAUAUCAGGAGGAACACCGGUGGCGAAGGCGGAUCUCUGGGCCUUACCUGACGCUGAGGCGCGAAAGCUAGGGGAGCAAACAGG